ACACCAAUGAUGAAGCGGUUAUCAUGCUUGCCUCAAGCUGGCAGCAGGGGUUCGACUCCCCUAUGGUUGUA